AUGAUUUUCCUCACCCUGUGUGAAGCAGAGGAGAGUCCAGAUGAGGACGCAGAUCAAAGUCAUGUUUUUGAUGAGGAGGAUUUCUGUGUCUUCUGUUGUGAUGAAGGACAGCUGUCAGUCAUCCAGAGUUCAACUUUUGUAUCACUGUGGUGGACUUUUGGUGGAGGAACCAGGCUGGAUGUUGGAAGUGAUACCCGCCCCACCCUGACAGUGCUGCCCCCCUCCAGUGUGGAGCUGCAGCAGCAGCAGGUUACCCUCAUGUGUCUGGCCAACAAGGGCUUCCCCUCAGACUGGACUCUGUCCUGGAAGCUGGACGGCAGCAGCAGCAGCAGCAGCAGCUGGGAGCAGAGCAGGAGCCCCGGGGUGCUGCAGAAUGACGGCCUCUACAGCUGGAGCAGCACCCUGAGGCUCCCUGCAGACCAGUGGAGGAAGGUGGGCUCUGUGACCUGUGAGGCCUCCCAGGGCUCCCAGUCUGCAGUCACAGAGACACUGAGGAGAGACCAGUGUUCCCAGUCCUGAC